GCGGAAGGAUCAUUACUGAGUGAGGGCCCUCUGGGUCCAACCUCCCACCCGUGUUUAUUGUACCUUGUUGCUUCGGUGCGCCCGCCUCACGGCCGCCGGGGGGCUUCUGCCCCCGGGUCCGCGCGCACCGGAGACACUAUUGAACUCUGUCUGAAGAUUGCAGUCUGAGCAUAAACUAAAUAAGUUAAAACUUUCAACAACGGAUCUCUUGGUUCCGGCAUCGAUGAAGAACGCAGCGAAAUGCGAUAACUAAUGUGAAUUGCAGAAUUCAGUGAAUCAUCGAGUCUUUGAACGCACAUUGCGCCCCCUGGUAUUCCGGGGGGCAUGCCUGUCCGAGCGUCAUUGCUGCCCUCAAGCACGGCUUGUGUGUUGGGCUCCGUCCCCCCGGGGACGGGUCCGAAAGGCAGCGGCGGCACCGAGUCCGGUCCUCGAGCGUAUGGGGCUUUGUCACCCGCUCUGUAGGCCCGGCCGGCGCCAGCCGACAACCAAUCAUCCUUUUUUCAGGUUGACCUCGGAUCAGGUAGGGAUACCCGCUGAACUUAAGCAUAUCAAUAAGCGGAGGAAAAGAAACCAACAGGGAUUACCUCAGUAACGGCGAGUGAAGCGGUAAGAGCUCAAAUUUGAAAGCUGGCUCCUUCGGGGUCCGCAUUGUAAUUUGCAGAGGAUGUUUCGGGAGCAGCCCCCAUCUAAGUGUCCUGGAACGGACCGUCAUAGAGGGUGAGAAUCCCGUAUGGGAUGGGGUGUCUGCGCCCAUGUGAAACUCCUUCGAC
rnacentral:rRNA from 1 species